CCUACGGGAGGCAGCAGUGAGGAAUAUUGGUCAAUGGACGCAAGUCUGAACCAGCCAUGCCGCGUGCAGGAAGACGGCUCUAUGAGUUGUCAACUGCUUUUGUACGAGGGUAAACGCAGAUACGUGUAUCUGUCUGAAAUUAUCGUUCGAAUAAGGAUCGGCUAACUCCGUGCCAGCAGCCGCGGUAAUCCGGAGGAUUCAAGCGUUAUCCGGAUUUAUUGGGUUUAAAGGGUGCGUAGGCGGUCGGAUAAGUUAGCGGUGAAAUCCCGAGGCUCAACUUCGGAAUUGCCUCUGAUACUGUUCGGCUAGAGAGUAGUUGCGGUAGGCGGAAUGUAUGGUGUAGCGGUGAAAUGCUUAGAGAUCAUACAGAACACCGAUUGCGAAGGCAGCUUACCAAGCUACGUCUGACGUUGAGGCACGAAAGCGUGGGGAGCAAACAGGAUUAGAUACCCCAGUAGUC
rnacentral:rRNA from 1 species